rnacentral:rRNA from 1 species
UACGUAGGGUGCGAGCGUUGUCCGGAAUUAUUGGGCGUAAAGAGCUCGUAGGCGGCUUGUCACGUCGGAUGUGAAAGCCCGAGGCUUAACCUCGGGUCUGCAUUCGAUACGGGCUAGCUAGAGUGUGGUAGGGGAGAUCGGAAUUCCUGGUGUAGCGGUGAAAUGCGCAGAUAUCAGGAGGAACACCGGUGGCGAAAGCGGGUCUCUGGGCCGAUACUGACGCUGAGGAGCGAAAGCGUGGGGGAGCGAACAGG